rnacentral:rRNA from 1 species
GACGAACGCUGGCGGCGUGCUUAACACAUGCCAGUCGAGCGGAAAGGCCCUUCGGGGUACUCGAGCGGCGAACGGGUGAGUAACACGUGAGUAACCUGCCCCAGACUUUGGGAUAACCCUCGGAAACGGGGGCUAAUACCGGAUACGACACAGCUUCGCAUGGGGUCUGUGUGGAAAGUUUUUCGGUUUGGGAUGGGCUCGCGGCCUAUCAGCUUGUUGGUGGGGUGAUGGCCUACCAAGGCGACGCCGGGUAGCCGGCCUGAGAGGGCGACCGGCCACACUGGGACUGAGACACGGCCCAGACUCCUACGGGAGGCAGCAGUGGGGAAUAUUGCACAAUGGGCGGAAGCCUGAUGCAGCGACGCCGCGUGAGGGAUGACGGCCUUCGGGUUGUAAACCUCUUUCAGCAGGGACGAAGCGUAAGUGACGGUACCUGGAGAAGAAGCGCCGGCCAACUACGUG